rnacentral:lncRNA from 1 species
AAAAAAAAACCAAAAAACAAAUAAUAUAUUUUUUUAAGAAUAUUCUACGCAUCAAAUACCAAUUUUUUUUAAAUUAUUUUUUUUGUUGGUAUUGAAUGACAAAACCUAGCAAAUUUCAGCGGAACGGUUUGUUGGGUGGGUUAAUGGGCCCCAACCGCGUUGCAAACGGCUUGACAACCGGGUCGUUAACGCAGAGAUGAAACGACGCCGUGUACCCGUUCUUCUCCGCGUUCACGCACUCCUCGCAAUGAGCCAUUUUUAUUUCCUCCUCGCAAUGAGCCAUUUUUAUUUCCUCCUCGCAAUGAGCCAUUUUUAUUUCCUUGUUCGUCGCCGUUGAAGGAACGUUAACGUCGUACCAACCAACAACCAUCGGAAUUGAAUCCACACACGUACCCGUACCCGGAUUCGGAUCCGAAUAGAAAUUUACCCUCGCCAUAGCCAUCUGAUAAUUCUCUCUCUGGAAAACUUUGGAUUGAUAAGCAGAAAUUGUGAUCUAUGGGUUAUCUUAUGUCGUGCGUGUAUAUAUAUAUAUAUAGAGUUUAAUAAUGUGAUAAGCAGACUAUCUCUCUAAUUCCCUUAUUUUUUGUAAUACUUAUCAUAUAAU